GGAAAAAUUGGGGGUCAAAAUUCCAACAAAUAGUUCAGUACUAAAUAAGCAAGACUAGUCAUCAGAUAAGUACCCGAGAUGUAAAAGAUAAUAUUGCAGGGAGAUAGAAACUACCUAGUGUGGCCAAAAUCUAUUUCGGAACCAUAUUGGAGGUUCUCAACCAAAACAUAUUCUAUUUUUCAUUGAAAUACCUCCGAUGCACUUGCUUAUGAUUCAUGCUCAAUUGUUUCUGAAGCAAUCAAAAGACUGUCCUGAUUAACUCUACUAAUACUGCCCUUAUUCCAAAGGUUGACUGUCCUGACAGUGCUAGCCAACAUAGACCAAUUUCAUGUUGUAAUGUAUUGUACCAGUUGCCUGACUUGAAUAUCACCCCAUGUGCAAGAUUGUAAAACUGACUCAAUUUUUGCUGAUGAUCUAAUGGUAUUUUGCAACAGAGAGGAACACUCUAUGCUAAGGGCGAGGGAAGCAGUGGAACAAUUGAGUGCAGCCAUAUGUUUGAUUGCAAAUUUUGAGACGUCUAGCAUCUUUAUAGUUGGAUCUUCUGACCAAAUGAAGGAUAUAUUGCUGGUUACAUAUGUUUGAUUGCAAAUUUUGAGAAGUCUAGUAUCUAUAUAGUGGGAUCUACUGACCAAAUCAAGGAUAUAUUGCUGGUUACACUCUAGGGCUAUUUCCAAUAAGAUAUUUGGCACUGCCUAUAUCCUCUAAGAAGUGUAAACAGUUAGUGUGUCAAUAACUAAUUGACAAGAUUACAAGCAUGCUUAGUACUGCUUAUGCUAAACAAUUAUCCUAUGCAGGAAGAUUUCAAGUUCUGAAUGCUGCGUUUUUCUCUAUACAUAGCUUUGGGGAUCUGCCUUUAUCUUGCCGCAGAGCAUAUUGAAAUAGGUGGAUAGAAAGUGCAGGGAAUAUAUGUGCGGGAUCUCAGAAGGACCGAGGAAACCAUGUGUCGUCUCUUGGGACAAAGUUUGUCUACGAAAGAAUAGAGGACUUAAAUGUGAAAGAACGCAGAACUUGGAAUGUAGAUUCAGUGGGGAAGUUACUUUGGAAGCUAGUUGUGGGUAAGAAUGCACUAUGGAUAAGAUGCUGUCUAUGUGAUUUAUAUGAAAAAUGACGAUAGUAUCUAGGGACAUAAAGCUCCACUGGGUAGUAGUUUUUACCGGAGGAAAAUCAACUCUUUGAAGGAUAGGAUGGUCAUACGGUAUUAACUGCUAAAGGAGUAUUCUGCUAUUCUUCAUCACUAGUAGUUAUUAACAUCUUAUGGGGGAGCAAAGGAAGAUCUGGACGUUGCAGAUCUUGUGUGGACAUAUGUAGCCCAGCCAAGGCAUAAAGUUAUACUGUGUUUAGCACUUUAGGGGAUGCUGCUUAGACUCGUUAUACUAAAGAUGCAAGUGGAUGAUCGAUGCUGUCUGCAGUGCUGGCGUCACAUGUACAUAAGGGGUUUCAAUCGACACCCUAACUCAGAAAAUUAAACUUUGUGACCAGUCUAUCGCCAGUCACCUCAGAGCGGUCGACUCUUUCACUUCCAGCAAGGUCCACCAAAUGAAGACUACUACGCAUGGAUGAACCACUCUUAAUAUCCAUCCCACGAACAUGAAUAGUGACAACACUGUGCACAUAUUGCAGCUAAUCUCAGUAUGAUAUAGUAAA